UGGGGAAUAUUGCACAAUGGGCGCAAGCCUGAUGCAGCCAUGCCGCGUGUGUGAAGAAGGCCUUCGGGUUGUAAAGCACUUUCAGCGGGGAGGAAGGCGUUAAGGUUAAUAACCUUGGCGAUUGACGUUACCCGCAGAAGAAGCACCGGCUAACUCCGUGCCAGCAGCCGCGGUAAUACGGAGGGUGCAAGCGUUAAUCGGAAUUACUGGGCGUAAAGCGCACGCAGGCGGUCUGUCAAGUCGGAUGUGAAAUCCCCGGGCUCAACCUGGGAACUGCAUUCGAAACUGGCAGGCUAGAGUCUUGUAGAGGGGGGUAGAAUUCCAUGUGUAGCGGUGAAAUGCGUAGAGAUGUGGAGGAAUACCGGUGGCGAAGGCGGCCCCCUGGACAAAGACUGACGAUCAGGUGCGAAAGCGUGGGGAGCAAACAGG
rnacentral:rRNA from 1 species